AGCGAAGAGCCAGUGGUUUGAGUGUUGGACUACAACUCUGGAGACCAGGGUUCAAAUCCCAGCUCAGCCA